rnacentral:misc_RNA from 1 species
CUCUCUCUCUCUCUCUCUCUAAUCUGGACAAUGUCUUUUACAGAACAAGCCAUUUGCUAAUUAUAAUUUCCUAUUUAAGUUAAUAUUGGAUUAAAAUUCUUGAAACAAAUUGAAAGGACCUCCAAAGAUAAAAUGAAUGAGAUGAGUUGGAAUACUACAUCUUUUAUUAAGUUAUGGAUAGAAUAUUUUUUCUGUAUAUAGAUCUUCCUAUUUAUGCUUGCUGAUAUAUGUUUUAAUAUGCUAGUGCAUAUUGCAUAUGUAAUUGAUAGUCAUUCUAAAACUCCUUUAUAUGUUGUCACUAAUUGUCUACUAGGGAAUGAAAUGCCUGGUAAAAUGG